GCAGUCCGUCCACUGCACCAGGAAGAGGAAUAUGUGCGCGGCGGGGCUAAACGACAGCCGCAUCUGCAGGCACGCCCCAUCGUACUCCCGCGGAAAUUCAGUCGCCCUGCACGUCAGAUAGAUCACUUGAGAUCAAUGCAAGGGUUCAACGGCGACGACUGCGGCUACAGGGCGUUGGUCCUUAGGGGCACGUGCACGAAGACUUCCUGACUGUCAUUGCAAGGUCAAGUCGGCCCUGGUAGUGGAGCAGCGAUAGUGGCGCGUCAGCAGCUCGUUCUGAUGGCAAUAGUGACCAUCCAUGGUUUCGGAAUCUCAAUGUAAUUUUUAUUAUAUUUAAGAUGCUUUAUACUUUCGAUGAACUUUUAUAAUAGGCCUGAUGCUUUUCUGAAACAAAUUGUCACGGAUAGGGGCGGAGACCAUUCAACGACAUACAUCAAAUGUCCGUCAGGCGCCCGUGAUAACUUCGUCAAUCUAAAAAUGCGAUGUCGUGUCUUAAAGGUGAAUAUGGGGAUAGAAUGUGUAUGCGUACACCCAUAGGGGUGAGCAUAUGUGCGUGUGUAUGAGAAUCUAUGAUUGUACCGUGUUAAAGAAAA